ensembl:lncRNA
CGGGAAGAAAAUAAAUUGUUGAAUAAAGUCAAGAAUAUUUCAUGAGCUAAAGAAAUGUUUUACAGUAGAAAGAACCUUUUGUGCAUUGAAAAUGAUCCAUGGAUGUUAAAAGUGCUUCAUGGAAUCACAAAUGCCAGUAAAGAACCUUAAUUUUUGAAAGUGUACUUAUAGUGCACAGUACAAUAUUGAGAAUUUAUUAAUCAUUUAUUUUUCAAAUCAAAUGUUCUCUUUAGUUCAAUUCACUUUUGAGGACAAUGAGGUCACGUUUUCCAUCACAACCAGGAGACAAACAGCUCCUGUUCUGUAUGACCCAGAAAAUGUUCAGAUGUCAACUCACAGGUGACCACAGUAACCAAGACAUUUCUGAGGUAUAAGAUGCUGAAUGUCCUCAUCAAAAGUAUCCGGAUGUUUUACCCAUAGAUAAAGAUAAUUAUUUUGGAUGACAGCCUGAAGCCUGAACCUAUUACUGGAAAAAACAUUGAGAACUACAUUAUGCCCCCUACACAGAUUUGCUUUCUUCAGGGCUGGUUUGCAGGGAGGGUCACAAGCAUAUUACCUGUGGGUGGAUGAUGACUAUGUAUUUUUGAAAGGAAGCCGGACUGGGAGCUUUGUAGAGAUUAUGGAAGCAGUUCCAGAAUGGCACAUUCUUGGUGGUGCAGUAUCAGGUGAUCAGUAUUACUUCAAAUUUGAGUAUGAAGAGGGAGAUGAAGAAGAAGGCGGCUGCCUAACACAUGUUAAAAAAGGGUUUCAUCAGCCACUUCUAAACUUUGAUGAGUGGGUCAUUAUGGCAAGUAUUUACUAAAUUUUGUCCAUUGCUAUUGCUCUGAUUUUUUUAAACUCUGUUUCCUCCUCCUAAAGUUCAAGUCACUUUUAUUUAUAUAGCGCUUUUAUACAAUACAGAUAGUUCCAAAGCAGCUUCAAUUUAAUGAACAGAAAAAUUACAGUGUUCAUGUUCCACAAUUAUAACAUACCAGCUGGAACCCCAGACUAAGAAAUUUCUCUCUGUAAAUUAUUUAUUUGACCAACAAUGGAUAUCAUACAUCAGUGGUUUGCCCUGACACUCACUUCAAGAUGUUUAGGCAAAAGGAAACACACAUAGUACUAAACAGCAAUCAUCCUUAAUCGAAGAAAUGUGGCAAAACAUCUCUGGAGAGAACCUCACAUUAUUAAAUGUUGAGUUGUGCUACACCCAUAGUUUCAAUUAGCGUUGCAUUCGGAGGAAAAAGCGGACGAUAGAGAUGUAUCAUCUUUAGCCGUUCUUGGCAUAUUUAUUUUUCUAGCUGUCGACACAUCAGUCUCAAGGUCAGACAGCCUUCAGUAAGAGAGAAAAGUAAAUCAACUGGAACAAACAUAAUAACGCAAACGUGUCUUCUGUAGCUUACACUUUAGUGCCCCAUUGUGGCAUACACAUAUACAUAACACAGAACAGUACAGCAUUACAUUAACAUACAACUGAGGACAUAAUGAACAUAUUUUAACAUUAAAUUCUCUUCUGGGCGCGUCUUAUAGACUAUCUUACAAUCGCAACUUCAUUGUGUUGUUACUCCUUUCAAGCCGAAUUUCACAGAAUCGGUCAGCUCCUGACAGCAUCAGGUGUUUUAUUAAUAGGGAGUAGAAUUAUUUAUUUAUUUCAAUGAAUGUAAUUGAUUAGAGUUCAUAAUAUUUAGACUAUAUUAUUAUAAACCCGGUUGUUUUGUAUUGGUGAUGUAAUAUGUUAAUGAUACGCGGCCCGUGAGACUUGCACUUGGACCAUAGUGCGGCCCAGUGGAGAUGGUCCUCACUGCAGAACACAAGUUCCAGGGGGCGUGGUUGGAUCCAGAUCCAACUCCUCCCACCUUACAUAUACCUAAACCUACCCGUCUCCACCCCCUGAUCCCUAAACCCACCCACCGUCACCCCUAAACCUACCCAUCUCCACCCCCUAGAAGGGGAUCCAACCACGCCCCCUGGAUCUUGUGUUCUGCAGUGAGGGGCUACUGGCCCAGUGGGGAAAAAAAGGUUGAGAAGCUCUGGUCUACAUGUUAGUUUUUCUGAGCUGAUUGCUGGCUGUAAGCUGUCUGCUGAGGUCUGCAGCGUCUCUGUGUCUUUAUUGUUAAAUAAAUAAUAGAUGAUAUUCUGUUAGUGUGUCUGU